UGCCCCGUGGUGCAGUGGUAGCACAGCAGUCUUUGGCACUGUUGACCCGGGUUCGAAUCCUGGCGGGGCAGCCA
rnacentral:tRNA from 2 species